rnacentral:sRNA from 1 species
AUUGACCCUAUGACAGGAUGGGCCGAGGUGAUGGAGGGGAAGAGGAAUGCCUUUGCCUGCCCUCUGGUUUAAGCGGCGGGGUCUAGGGCUAAGGACCUGAAGAAGAAGCAGAAAAACCUGUGAAAACUAAGACUGUUUCUUCCAGUAAUGGAGGGGAAAGUUCCAGUCGCAGCGCUGAGAAGCGAUCAGCUGAAGAAGAAGCUGUCGACCUCCCAACAAAGCCUACAAAGAUCUCCAAGUUUGGAUUUGCCAUAGGUAGUCAGACGACAAAGAAAGCAUCAGCCAUAUCCAUCAAACUUGGAUCAAGUAAGCCUAAAGAAACUGUUCCAACUCUUGCUCCAAAAACUCUUUCAGUAGCAGCAGCUUUUAAUGAAGAUGAAGAUAGUGAACCAGAGGAAAUGCCUCCAGAAGCAAAGAUGAGGAUGAAGAAUAUUGGAAGGGAUACACCAACAUCAGCUGGACCAAACUCCUUCAAUAAAGGAAAGCAUGGGUUUUCUGAUAACCAGAAGCUGUGGGAGCGAAAUAUAAAAUCUCAUCUUGGAAAUGUCCAUGACCAAGACAAUUAAAUGAUGUUUUGAAAUUGGGGUGU